rnacentral:rRNA from 1 species
AAACUUUGCAAUGUGCGAAAGCACGACAAGGUUAAUCCGAGUGUUUUCUGCUAAAGAAAUCUUUUGUUAGUUUUAAAAUCACUAUCGAAUAAGGGGUGGGCAAGUUCUGGUGUCAGCCGCCGCGGUAAAACCAGCACCUCAAGUGGUCAGGAGGAUUAUUGGGCCUAAAGCAUCCGUAGCCGGCUAUGUUAGUUUUCGGUUAAAUCCAUGUGCUUAACACAUGGGCUGCCGAAAAUACUGUAUAGCUAGGGAGUGGGAGAGGUAGACGGUACUCAGGAGGAAGGGGUAAAAUCCUUUGAUCUCUUGAUGACCACCAGUGGCGAAGGUGGUCUACCAGAACACGUCCGACGGUGAGGGAUGAAAGCUGGGGGAGCAAACCGG